ensembl:lncRNA
GUGUAGUAGACCUUAGUGAAAUGCUGAAUACAACAGGUGUAGGUAGACCUUACAGUGAAAUGCUGAAUACAACAGGUGUAGGUAGACCUUACAGUGAAAUGCUGAAUACAACAGGUGUAGGUAGACCUUACAGUGAAAUGCUGAAUACAACAGGUGUAGUAGACCUUACAGUGAAAUGCUGAAUACAACAGGUGUAGUAGACCUUACAGUGAAAUGCUGAAUACAACAGGUGUAGUAGACCUUUCCAGUGAAAUGCUGAAUACAACAGGCGUAGUAGACCUUACAGUGAAAUGCUGAAUACAACAGGUGUAGUAGACCUCACAGUGAAAUGCUGAAUACAACAGGUGUAGUAAACCUCACAGUGAAAUGCUGAAUACAAC